rfam:Zootermopsis nevadensis contig21736, whole genome shotgun sequence.
UGGUCUAGCGGUUAGAACGCUGGCCUUGUAAUCCUGGGGUCUCGGGUUCGAUUCCCGA